AGCGAACGCUGGCGGCAGGCCUAACACAUGCAAGUCGAACGAACUCUUCGGAGUUAGUGGCGGACGGGUGAGUAACACGUGGGAACGUGCCUUUUGGUUCGGAAUAACUCAGGGAAACUUGUGCUAAUACCGAAUGUGCCCUUCGGGGGAAAGAUUUAUCGCCAUUAGAGCGGCCCGCGUCUGAUUAGCUAGUUGGUGAGGUAACGGCUCACAAAGGCGGCGAUCAGUAGCUGGUCUGAGAGGAUGACCAGCCACACUGGGAGUGGGACACGGCCCAGACUCCGACGGGAGGGAGCAGUGGGGAAUCUUGCGCAAUGGGCGAAAGCCUGACGCAGCCAUGCCGCGUGAAUGAUGAAGGUCUUAGGAUUGUAAAAUUCUUUCACCGGGGACGAUAAUGACGGUACCCGGAGAAGAAGCCCCGGCUAACUUCGU
rnacentral:rRNA from 1 species